GAGUGGCAAAAACGGAACGGAGUUGGGGAGGGGAUUCCGACGGGAAUUAGGGGAGCUCUGCUGGACCUGGAAGACUUGAGGGACGGGGUGGCCUUUCUGAACUUAUCCGAAUCUCUUCUCUCUCCUUCUUGGCGGUAUUUGGACCAGCCGAGUCGUCAUUGCUAGAUAAUCAUGUGUGAUCAGCCAGCCAGUGACACCAACAUUAGGGGAACAUUUUUAAUAUGAGUAGUUCUUUUGCGCUCCUGUAUUCUGACGGAACAUAGCGCCUUGUGCGUGGGCAUUGAUGAUGAUCAAGUCCCUGUUCUUCCUUGACAGAAGAGGCAAGUCAAGGAGACUAGGAGCGGUUUAUGGAGUUUACUACUACUGCUGCUACAGCACAUCUGCUAGACGAAUUAGGAGAAUGCAUGGUGUGCCAUCAGAUCUGAUCUGGAGAUGGACGGCUGGUGUUGCCCAGACCAGUUGGAGUGGCCGGGGACAGGGACGCUGUGCCAAAGCUUUUGCUCAUCGCCAGUUCCUAUACUUACUAUAUAUCUAUCUCCCUUGGUCUUUAAGAUAGCUCUGAUAACAACAGCGUUGUCCAUCACCCGGUCAUCUCUUGGACAGCAACAAUACAAUCUCUGACGCCCCGUGCGUAUGUACCUAUCCAUGCAAUAUCUUGCUGCCGACUAAUAGUUGUCACUCCCUUUCUUUUCCCAGACGAUUAUAAAAGAAAACACUAAUGAUGUGAGGUUAACAUGGCCCCAAAAGAUAA